CUAGGAGAACCCACAAUUAUAGAAUCACUGUCGGCUGAAGUAAAGAAUCUUCACAGGAGAAAUGAGAGGUUAGAGGAACUUAAUAUCAGACUUCUGGAGGAGAAACACCAGCUCCAGACUUUACGCUGCCCUCUUUAUACAAGGCCUGUCCCAGAGCUCUCUUG
rnacentral:lncRNA from 1 species